rnacentral:misc_RNA from 1 species
GAUGAAGAACGUAGUGAAAUGCGAUAAGUAAUGUGAAUUGCAGAAUUCAGUGAAUCAUCGAAUCUUUGAACGCACAUUGCGCCCGCCAGUAUUCUGGCGGGCAUGCCUGUCUGAGCGUCAUUUCAACCCUCAUGCCCCUAGGGCGUGGUGUUGGGGAUCGGCCAAAGCCCGCGAGGGACGGCCGGCCCCUAAAUCUAGUGGCGGACCCGUCGUGGCCUCCUCUGCGAAGUAGUGAUAUUCCGCAUCGGAGAGCGAUGAGCCCCUGCCGUUAAACCCCCAACUUUCCAAGGUUGACCUCAGAUCAGGUAGGAAUACCCGCUGAACUUAAGCAUAUCAAUAAGGGAGGA